rnacentral:tRNA from 1 species
UGCAUCGGCCGGGAAUCGAACCCUGGCCGCCCACGUGGCAGGCGAGCAUUCUACCACUGAACCACCGAUGC